rnacentral:pre_miRNA from 7 species
UUUUAGGAAGCUUCUGUAAGACCCCCUUUCGGGGACCCCCACUCUAGUCUCAGGAGUGAGAGAGCACCCAAAGAAACACGAGGACCC